rnacentral:lncRNA from 1 species
AAUUUGGUUUUUUUUUGGUAAUAAAAUGAAAUUCCAAUAAAAAAAAUGAAUUGUAAAGAACACAUUUAUUAUAUAAAAUAAAAUAAAUGUAUGCUGCAAGAGAAAUAUUUAAAAAAUAAUUAUGAAAAUAAAAAAAUAAUCAAAUAAUGUUCCAAAAUCUACAUUGUCGUCUAGCACAUGCGGUUCAGAGGUCUGGGGGUCUACAUGGGCCGUCGUCUGGUGGGGAUGCUCGGGAUGGACGGGCUCGGAGGUCGGCGCAUCAAAAUGCGGGACUAGAAUGCCGGACUGUGCGAGGGACUGCAGAAUGACCGACAUUUGACUCUGAAGAGUGGCCACCUGUGAUGUCAAAGUAGUGACCUGACUGUUUGACUGCGCUGAUGAACGGGGUUUGGGUUCCCUCCGCCUGGCAUUCCCCAUCCCUCGACAAUAUGUCCCCGGUCUCCUCCCUAGAGUCUGAUCCAAUGUCUCCGUCAACAUCUAAAACCCAGCACCCUGUGGAGGAUCCACAGACUCGAUCGGAGUAUCAGGAGGAAGUUGGGAGGCGGACUCCUGAAGAACCAACUGGCUCUUCUCCACCAUCGUCGUCUGUUUAGCAUAACAUAAAAUAUAAAUUAAAACAUUCAUAUAAUAAACUUUAAACUUGAAUGUGUAACAUAAUAAUUAAAAUUAAAUAAUACUUACAUGAAGGGACUCGGCCAACUCAUUCCCAGGUCGAACAUAAACGUCGCCAAAGACGUCAAUCUCUGGGAAUUUGGACCCCCCCUAAAUUGAACAAGAGAAGAAAAAUAUUAGUACGAAAAAAUAAAUUAAGAAUAAUGAAAUAUUAAAAAUAAAAUAAAAAUUAUUUUAUUAUUACCUGCCGUCGUGCAUCCAUCCUAUAGGAGAAGGGCCUGGAACCUGAAUGAUGGAGAAGAGUCUUCUUCUUCCUAUUGCCCUUAUUGACUUUGGCUUUAUUCUGUUAUACAAAAAAUAAAACGUAUUAGUUGAAAUUGAAAUUAAAUAUAAAAAAUUAAAAAAACAUUAGUAAGAAAAAUAUAAAUUUGAAAUUCAUAUUACAAAUUACCACAAAAGCGGGCGCCUGAAAAUGAGCUUAGAGCCACGCACAACUAUCCUCCCGCCCCUCAAGCUCCUUCGGGCAACCCUCCUGUAGAGCGACUUGCGGAUCAUCAAACGCCUCAAAAUAGUGGUGCAAGUCGCUCUUCCACUGUUUGUACCUCUCAGAGAAGAGUCUGUUAACGUACGCCAACGACUCGUUGUCGAGGUCCUCCAAGUUGUAGUUCGUCUGCAAUAAAUUAAUUACAUACAUUUAAAUAAUAGAAAUAUAAAGUUUGAAAGAAAAAGAAUUAAAAGGCCUACAUACCGACAACUGGCCGCGAACCUCCGUCUUGAUCUCAUCAGGCAUGACCUUCCAAGACUUCCUCCAAGUUGUAGUUCGUCUGCAAUAAAUUAAUUACAUACAUUUAAAUAAUAGAAAUAUAAAGUUUGAAAGAAAAAGAAUUAAAAGGCUUACAUACCGACAACUGGCCGCGAACCUCCAUCUUGAUCUCGUCAGGCAUGACUUUCCAAGACUUCCAUUUCAUCGGGCAAUGGCUCCGAACCACAUGACCAAUGUCGUGGGCCAAGGAGCUAUGCAACUCCGCCAUCGGUGCAGCCCGAUGUCGCUCGUCAUAUCCGAUGUUGAUACGACUGUUGGUCACCCGGGUGACCUUCGCCGUCUUCAACUGCCAACACGGCCCUCUGGUGUUCUUCUUGGCUGCAAAGAAAGAUGACAUUAAUGUUAAAUAAAUAACAAAUUUAACUAUAAAAUACACACAAAAACAAAAACAAAAACAAAAAUCAAAACAAAAAUCAAAACAAAAAUAAAAAGAACUAGAGUUUAAGGAAAUCUAUACCUGGCUGUGACCCCGAUGCAUCAGUCGAUGUGGUGUCGGUGGUGCUGGCUGGCCGAUGACGCCGCCUGGCGCUAACAGGCUGCGCCACUGAUGAAGCCGAUGAAACAGGUGCCUGGGACCCCGCGGGACCAACUGCCAAGUGGUCCAUCAGUGUUGGCGCAGUGGCAGCAGAUGUCGGCUGAGCCGGAUGCUCCGAACUCUGUGUAGUCGUCACCGCCCUACGACGUCUAAUCAGGUCUGACAUCUGCACAAUUUCAUUAAUACACAUACAAAUUAAUAAAAUAUAUGAAUAUUUGAAAGCACAUACAAUUUUAUUAAGAUUCUUGACCUAGGGUUUGCGAGUUUGGAGUAUCCGGGACUCCGAUCCACGAUCCGUCGAAUCCUAGAUGAUCCUAGAAAUACAAGGUACACUAUACGUGAGUUUGAGUUCGAUCCAACGGUCUGAACAUAACAAACCCGGAAAUCUCACAAUAGGCAAAAUCCAUUCGAGACUCCAACAGCAACCAAAUUCCAAUCCGAAAAGACCUACGCGCUCGUGACAACUAAGGGAUUGCACUGGGACCCAAUGCAUGACUGCUAUAGUAUCCCACGCGCCACCACACGCGCCGGCAGCGCGUGGGUGUCCAAAGAGAUACCAAUCGCCGGAAAAUUCUAAAAGCUAAGGGCCAGGGUUCCUACCUUAGGUUGAAAACAUCAAUUGGAGCCAUUAUUGUUCUCGAACCUACCCCGAAAAAUGGCAAGAAGCGGUCGGAAUUGAAAUUCAAAAACCGACCGAAACUUAGGGUUUAAAAUCGAUUGUCGUAUUGCUACAAUUACUGAAAUCCUACCCAACCAUCAGCUAAAGCAUCAAAAAUAGUCCAGAAACCAUACCUCAGGUGUCGGAUUUGGUCGCCGGAGGAGAGAGAAUGAGGGCAGCGAAGAUUCGGUGAAAACUGAGCAAAUUCUAGCGGCUGGCUCGACGGUGACGGCGGGGAAGCUCCGGGGUACCAGGGUUGUGGCGGCGCGGUCCAAAUUCCACUGGGGUAGGGGGCUGAGCUGACAGCGGAGAGAGAGAGAGAGAGUUAGGGCAAAAAUCAGAAUCUGGGGAAGAAGGAGGUCAUCACGUUGUUUCUGAAAUUUUAUUCAAUUUUGCGCAACGAAUAAAUAAAAGCGUCGCGCAAAAUAUUUUAAAUGACUCUUGCGCGACGACAUAAGUAUAACUUCCGUCGCGUAAUAUUGUGAGUCCGGCAAAAUUUGGUAUUAGGGUAGGGUUGAGCGGUUUUGCGCGACACAUAGACAUGUGUUUCGUCGCGCAAGGUUGUCAUUCUGCCAAAAUUUUGGGACUUAGGGUUUAGCAGGAGAGAGAAAAGUGAAAACUUUGCGCGACGCUGUCCGUAUUCGUUGCGCAAUGUUGUAAUUCUGCCAAAAUUUGGGGUUUAGGGUUUAUUGGGGCAGAGAGAUUGCGUGACGAAUAUGGACAGCGUCGCGCAAGUCUGCUUUCUGUACACUCGAAAAAAAUUUGGACCAAGUGUUCAAGGGGGAAGAGGGUGAAAGGGCUGACUGAGAUUGCGCGACGACGAAAUAAAAAGUUCGUCGCGCAAGAUUGUUUUCUGCACACUUUGUGCGACAAAUCAACGUUAUUCGUCGCGCAAUGUUGUAAUUCGCCAAAAUUUGGGGUUUAGGGUUUCUUGGGCAGAGAGAUUGCGCGACGAAUAUGGACAGCGUCGCCCAAGUCUACUUUCUGUACACUCGAAAAAAAUUUGGACCAAGUGUUCAAGGGGGAAGAGGGUGAAAGGGCUGACUAAGAUUGCGCGACGACGAAGUAUUAAGUUCGUCGUGCAAGACUGUUUUCUGCAGGCUUUGUGCGACAAAUCAACGUCAUUCGUCCCGCAAUGUUGUAAUCCGGCCAAAAUUUGGGGUUUAGGGUUUAUUGGGGCAGAGAGAUUGCGCGACGAAUAUGGGACAGCGUCGCGCAAGUCUGCUUUCUGUACACGCGAAAAAAAUUUGGACCAAGUGUUCAAGGGGGAAGAGGGUGAAAGGGCUGACUGAGAUUGCGCAACGACGAAGUAAUAGGUUCGUCGUGCAAGACUGUUUUCAGCACACUUUGUGCGACCAAUCAACGUUAUUCGUCGCGCAAACCCUAAACCCUAAACCCUAAACCGCGGAAAGCCUAAACCCGAAACUAGUUUCAAUGAUCCAACCGGCAAACUUGUUUUUUUAUACUUCGAGAUCGUAUACGCCGAAAAUCGGAAAAAACAAACAUUAAGAGAUCAAUUAACGGGACAAAACUUUUCGACGGUUCUAAAUGAAAAGUCAUGAUUUAACGGUUAUUUUAACUCCGAUUUUUAUGGUUUUUUACAGCUACAUUUCUUGAGCCUAUAUGAAUACAAUUACUGAAUUUGAUCUUCAAUUUAAAAUGUUUACACUAGGGGGAUACCACAUAAUCUUAUGUUAUAUUUAAUGAAAGUAUAAAUAAACUCUUCCUUGUUGGUGAAUAUAUGGUUUUGAUGGCAUACGCAUUCUACCAAACUAGUUUCAGUAAUCCAGCCGUCAAACUUGUUUGUUUAUACUUCGAGAUCUUAGACCCUAAAAAUUAAAAAAAAAAACAUUCAGAGAUCAAGUAACGGGAUAAAACUUUUCAACGGUUAUAAAUGAAAAGUCAUGAUUUAACGGUUAUUUUAACUCCGAUUUUGAUGAUUUUUUACAGCUACACUCCUUGAACCUAUAUGAAUACAAUGAACUAACUCGAUCGUCAAUUUCAAAUAUACAUGUGUAUAUAUAUUAUAUUAUAAAAUAAUAUAUAUUUGCGCGACGAGAGGUACCUUGUCGUCGCGCAAAAUUUCAUCGCGUGACGGAUGUUAGGUUGUCGGGUAAUGUUUUAACUUUACGCGACGAGUGUAUUGUGGGUCGCGCAAACUAUGCGCCUCAUCGCGCAAGGAUUUCGCGCCAUUUACUUAUUUAGGUCAAAUUGUGUAUCAUUUUCAUUUUUUAAAAAUGUUUGGUGUCAAUAAAUUUCAAACUUUGUAUGAAAAGGGUUUAGAUAUAUUUAUUUAUCAAUGUUUUAUAACAAUUUUUUUUUUCAUUUUUCAUUUUUUUGUGUAUGUCAAUUUUUUUAAUAAUGUCUCACGCUUUUGUUGUUGCAUUGACCUAACUCGAUUGUUCUUUUUCUUUUAUAAAGUGAAGUGAUAAACUUUCAUAAACUCAUGAAAAGUCGAUCAAAGUUAGAAUUGGAUUGUUUAUCAUUUUCAUUUUGUAAAAGUGUUUUGUCAAAAUAAAUUUAAAAAUUAUUGUUAAAAGGGUUUGGAUAUAUUGAUUUACCAUGUUUUAUAACUAAAUUUAUUUUAAUAAUGUUUCAUUUCUCCACAUAUAUAAGGUUUGGAUAUAACAACUACAUAUAUUCAAACAUUUGUAUUACACAAAAUCUGUACACUAGCAUAAUAAAAUUACAAAAAAAUUCAUUAUUCAUCAUCUGAACUAUAAUAACUUUCGUUAUCGUCGCUAUCAUCACUUUCGGUCUCCCAAUCCUCCUCCUCCUCCUCUAUAGCUACAUCAUCAUUGUUGCUUGGGCCCACUGCAACAUCGAAUCUCAGAAGAUCACUGAGGUCAAUUGUAAUUGACUGAAUCGGUAUUUCUAUUGAAGACACUCCUUGUAUUUGAAAUGGUUCUUGUAUAACAUGUGUAUUUCGAAGUGUUUCCGCAUCAUUUUUCAUUGAAGAUUCUAAAUGUUGGUCAGCCACAUUGUCGACGUCGUUGUCAGUUGGGUCUAGUUCUGGUAUAGCAUACACAUUCCUAUGAUCCAUCUUCUGAACAACUUUCCAACUGCACCCGGCUUUAGGGUCAUCUAGAUACACAAUUUGUGUUGCCAUGUUUGCUAAAAUGUAAGGGUCGUCAUCAUACCAAGUUCUGUUAAUGUUCACAGAUAGUAAGCCAUGGUCGAUUUUAACACUUCCCGGCCUAUUUGGGUUGCUAUCAAACCAUCGACACUUAAACAUGAUCACUUGGUAUGGAUCUUUGUAAAGCAAUUGAACGACAGUUGUGAGUUUGUCAUAGAAAUCAAUGUUCGUACUUUCGCCUCCACCUGGGACAUGGACACCGCUGUUUUGCGUACACAACUUGUCAUCUCGUGCAGCCCCCAAAAAUUUGACGCCAUUAAUACAACAACCCGAAAACAAUUCAGCGCGAAUCGGGCCGAACGCCAAGUUAUAUAACUCAUCACUGUAAGUGGGGGAAUUCGAUGAUUUCAACUUAUUCACUAAUAUAAUACAAAACCAUUCACAGGUUAGUUUGACAAAAUUAAAUACUACAAUUUAUAUGUGUCAAAUACAAAACACUUAUAACUUACAGAAUCCAAAAACCAUUGUGGAAACAAUUCACGGUGUUUUUGGGCAUCUCUUCAUGCUCAUCUAAGUAUGUCAUUAUCUCAUCACAAUUGUUCAGUACGAACCAAUGCGCUACCUCCAUGUCAUUUCUAGAAAACGACUCUCCUCGUCCAGGAUCUCCAAAGGGUCGUGCGCUUUGGGCAAAACAGAAGGUUUUUCCUUUCUCAUACCUCCGUCAUUAUUGCGCUGAGGACGAUUGAAAGCCGUCUCCACAUCUUUUAAAUACAUUCCACAGAAAGUAAACGACUCAUAUUGAACCCAAGCCUCUAUAAUUGAUCCUUCGGGCUUCGCCCUAUUGCGUACACUUUUUUUCAGCUCUCCAAGAAGCCUGUCAAAAUAAAACGAUAUGAUACAAAUUAGCAAGCCUGUGAUAAUGAUGCAUACAUAAACGAUAAGGAUUAUAUACCUUUCUAUUAGAUACAUCCAGCGAUAGUUGAUAGGACCAGCAAGCAAUGCCUCUUCUGGCAAGUGAACCAUCACGUGCAUCAUACUUUUAAAGAAUGCUGGAGGAAAUAUCAUCUCAAACUUGCAUAGGACUUGGAUAAUUUCAUGGCGCAACUGAAACAUGUCUGUCUUUCGCAAUGUUUUUGCCGUCAGUUGGGAAAAAAAUCUGGACAAUAACAUGAUUGGCUUCACAACAUCUUCCGGCAAUAGAUGUCGAAUACCCACAGGAAGUAGGCAUUGCAUAAACACAUGGCAGUCAUGGCUCUUCAGUCCAGUAAAUUUACCCCCGUCAACAUUCACGCAACGUGCGAUAUUAGAAGCAUACCCAUCAGGAAACUUUACAGACGAUACAAACUUUAGAAACUCUUUUUUGUCAUUCGGUUUCAUAGCAAAGAAUGCCAGAUCCCUUCUAGCUUUAUCACUGUCCCUGUUAUCCAUAAACCCCUUCGUAUGCCCAUUCUUUCUAAAUCAAGACGGGCUUUGAUUGUGUCCUUUGUCUUGCCCUCGAUAUCUAGAAUCGUGCCCACCAAUGUGUCAAAUACAUUUUUCUCAACAUGCAUCACAUCUAGAUUGUGCCUCAAUUUGAGUUUCGACCAAUAUGGGAGCUCAAAAAACAUAGGCUUGUGAGUCCAGUUCAUAUGUGUAGAAGGUCUGGUCCGACUAACUGUUUUUCCGAACGGAGUAAAAUCCAAACGGUUAAGCUGUUCCAAGAUCUCAUCACUGGACCAUUCUCUAGGUCUGAGGUGACGCUCUGUGUUCCUGUCGAACUCUUUAUCUUUUUCCCGCCACUCGUGUUCCCAUGGCAAACAUCUCCGAUGACCAAGGUAACAAACUUUUCCCGCGUGCCAACCAGAAGUUACAUCUUCCUUGCAUACAGAACAUGCCAUAUAACCCUUUGUGCUCCACCCAGAAACCAUUGCAUAUGCUGGAAAAUCAUUCACAGUCCACAUAACUGCUGCCCGCAAAGUGAACAUCUUACCAGUUGAUUUAUCGUACGUGCGAACACCGUUUGUCCAUAAAUCCUUCAGCUCAUCAACCAGCGGCCUUAAGUAAACAUCGAUUGACCUCCCAGGAUCCUUAGUUAUCAAAACAGUCAUCAUCAUGUAUUCUUUUUUCAUGCAUUUCCAAGGCGGCAAAUUAUAUGGGAACACGAAAAUCGACCAAGUGCUGUGAUGUUGGUUUAGAACCCCAUACGGAUUGAAUCCGUCAGUGGCAAGUCCCAAUCUCACAUUUCGGGGAUCAGCAGCAAACUCGGGGAAAGUUCGAUCUAACUCUUUCCAUGCCUUCCCAUCUGCAAGAUGCCGCAUCACAUCAUCAUCUACCCGUUUUUCCUUGUGCCAUCUCAGGUCUGUGGCAGUAUGCGUCGACAUAUACAAUCGCUGCAACCUAGGUUUCAGGGGCAGAUAACGCAUGACUUUUAAUGGGAUCUUAGUCGUUCUAUUCUGAGAUGUCAUUUUGAACCUCGACUCAUUGCAUAUAGGGCAUGUAUCCAACAUUUCAUGCUCCUUGUAGAAUAACAUGCAAUUAUUUUUGCAAACAUGGAUUUUUUCAUAACCCAAUCCAAGACCAUUCAACACCUUCUGCGCAUGUUUAUGGUCUUUCGGCAAAUAAUUGUCCAUCAUAAGCAUUCUCUUGAAAACCCCCAAAAAGUAAUCGAAACACAGGUUCGACAUACGAUACUUUAUUUUUCCGUGCAUUAGCUCUACAAUGGCCUUGAGAACGGAAAAGCUCUCGCACCCCGGGUAUAACUCUUGGUUGGCAUUUUUUAACAGUUUUUCAUAAUGUUCAAACUCCGCAUUGUCUAUUGGUGUAGGCACGUCAUCUUCCCUUUCGUGAUUGAUGUUGGUCGAUUCAAAUGGAAAAGCAUCCUGUAUAAUAUCCAUGACUUGAUCAUUAGGAUCCACAAUAGGUUCAACACUGUCCAUUCUUGUGGCAUUUGAAGACGAAGCAUGGUCUAAUUGUUCCCCAUGAAUGUUCCAAAUGCUAUAUGUCUCAAUCAUUCUAUUCCUUACCAAAUGAAAUCCAACAUUUUCAAUUGUCUCCCACAACGUGUUAUUACACCUCCUACAAGGACAUCGGAUUCUAGUUGCAUUCGGGUUGUGUCUACGUGCAAACUCAAUAAAAUCCUCAAUCUCAUCCAAGUAUUCGUCUGCACAUCUAUUCGGGUUCUGUAUCCACCUUCUGCUCAUAAUUCCUGAAACCACAAUCACAACUUAACAAUCACAACAACUUCAUACGAAGUUAUAAUGUCACCUUAUGCCUCCGAUAAUGGCCCUAUCCCAUUCAGGAAUGCAUAGUCCUGUCACGUAACCUACGGCUACAUGAGAUUAGAUUUCGACAUGGAUGAAUUUCGGCAGCAUCUCGAUACAGUUCUUGAGGUGGGCAUAGGUAUAAAUACCUACGUACUACCCGAAGAACGUACCGAAAUGACAUCGAAAUCUCCACAAUCGAAACCUAAUCAUGUAGCCGUAGAUUACGUGACAACACUAUGUAUUACCAAACUAUCCAAAUAGUGGGACAAUUCAAGAAUUAAUUAGACCGCAGUCAUGCUUUACGCAUCCAUGUACGAAAUCCAACUAAUCUCGAACGGGAAACUAAGUGUUACUAAACAUACAAAUAAAAGUAUGAAGUUAAUUUCAAUUAACUUCGUACAUCACAACACAUUGUGCUACGUCACGUACAAUUUAACAACAUAAUAUAAAUAUAACUUCACAAAAAAAAUAUAAACAUAACAAACUAACUUUAACAUUUUUAAUAUAUAAAACGAAUAAAAUACCUUCUCAAUCGUUCUCCACUAAUCGCUAAUUACAAAUAUCCCUAACGAGAAGAAAAUUAAUAGCGUUAGUACGAAUUUACAUUAAUACUUUUAAACUAACGACAAAAAAUACUUACCCAAUGAACGUACUGAAUUUCCAGCAGAGGCAGCGGCAGAGAGGUUGAGAGAGAGGCAGAAACAAAAUUUUUUUGCAUUCUGCCUCUGCAAUGGCAGAAUUCUGAUAUGAAGAAGGACUUUGCGCGACGAAAUGAAUGGUCCGUCGCGCAAACUGCCGUUGCGAAAAACCAUUUUUCCGUUGCACAAAACGAUUUUUUUUGUCGCGCAAAAACUUGUCGACAAAAAACUUUUGUGCCACGCAUGAUAUUUUCGUCGCACAAGAAUGUACCGACAUCAAACUUUACGCAACGAAAACUAAUUCCGUCGUGCAAAAAAAAAAAAAAAUCCCCCCCUAAAUUAUUUUGGCGCCAAAAAAAAAAUAUCCCUUGUUUUCUUACGCGACGAUAAACGAUUUCGUCGCACUAAGCUGUCUUAACCUGUCGUCGCACAAGUUUUCGCAGCCAAUUAACGGGAUCCACUGUUUUGUGUUCACCUUUACAGGACGAAGUGUCCCAUCGUCGAGCUAGGUUUUCUUACGCGACGAUUCUUCUCGCCGCACAAGUGUUUGGCCCCAACAAAAAACCAGGGUUUUUUUUGGCUCACUUUGCUCGACGAAGUUAAAUUUCUGUUGCCCUAAGAGGUUUUGCGCUUCGAAAAAUUUGGUUGCGCAAGUUUUCAAUUUUUUGCGCGACGAACCUUUUUUUCCGUCGAUGUAGUGCAUUUUGCGCAACGAACUUGUGUUCGUCGCACAAAAUCUUGUCGCGCAAAUAGCAAAACGUAGUAGUGACUGGAAAUGCUAACAUUUUAACUUAAAUCACAAUGGCAUUGAAAAUAACUUCAACUAUAAAUCCUAUUGUGAAUGCAUGAUUAUGUCAUGAUUUAUCUGAAGUCAAGUUUCUCAUAUCGGUCAAGUCAUGCCUCGGAAGUAUGUGAUUGAAUGCGUUGUGCAAAACGUCCAGUAAACAGUUCUUCACACACUAAUUUCCAACUUAUGCUAGAGUCUAGGAAAUACUAAUGCAGUUUUCGUACAAACAAUCUCUCCCUUUGGCAUUUCCUAGACAAAACACUAGAUUAUAUUAAUAUUUCAGACAUGUUUACACGAAUAACCUACACAUCCUACUUUACUUUACCAAACAAAUAUCCAGUUCUUGUAAUUUCUGCACACCAACAAAUAGACUACCAGUGAAGCAUAAUAGAUUUGAAACAAUAAGAAACAGAAUUUGGCACAAUUAAACAACAAUCCUUCAUAUGUAAGGAGGUUAAGAAAUUUACUACAAGUUCUGAUCCCAUAGACAAAACAGAAAGUUAUCUCCUCAUAAAUAUCAUGUUUCUACUUUUGAUAGUCAAAUUACUCCCCCUAAAUCCCAUAUGUAAUACAAAAUAUUCUCUCCUUUUUUUGUGUAGGAAAUCCAAAGGGACACAGAGAUAACUACAAAAGAUGAACAAAUCCAAAAGCGGAACAGAUGAACCUUAGAGGCUGCCAGCCCGAGUAGGACGAGGAGGAUCAGGUGGCUGAAUGUGCCCAGCCGGUGUCAACAAUAGCUCACCAUAGGUGUUAAGACGAUCCCAGAUGCGGUGAAGAAGUGCAUGCGUCACUUGAUGGGAUGUAGAGAGCAAUUCUAAAAGGGCAUGUUCCUCGAUGGAGAAAUCACCAUAAGUACAGUGAGCAUCGUUGCGAUGUAAAGUAACCUGAUUGUUGACUUUGAUGAUGUCGGAAGAGCCAAUAUCAUCUGUAGACAGUGCAGGGACACCAGCAUGAGCAGCCAAAGCUGUGAUAGUUCGAAGUAGAACAAGACUUGCUAUUGAAACAAUGGCAUUUGUGGCACCAGCGGCAAUGAGGCUUUCACGGAUAUAGAACUCAACAUUGACAAAUUGCUUAAUCACAAGCUGGAAGACAAUAUAUGAGCAGCAUUCAAACUCACUUUCCCAUGCUAGGAAGUGGGAUUCAGAUAGUUGCGCACAAGCAUAUAUAGAGUACGCAUCCACAGAGAUAUCAUACCAUAUGAGAGCUCGGUGGGGAGCACCUCAGGCGGAGACACAUAGAGUCGAUUCACCAGUUGACGAUGAAGAAGAAAAUUUCUGGAACUGGCUCACAAGAACUACCAGAGCGAAUAGGAGCCAGACCAAGGGCAGCUGAAAUAAAGUGGAAAUUGAAUAGAAUAGGAAUCCCACGCACACACAACAAGUCCGGACAGAGCAGCAGAGGUAGUGAAGACAUCGGGAAAAUUAGCAUAAAAUUCACGAACAAUCUGGAAGUUGGCCAGCGGCAACCCACGAACCAAUUACAAGAGACGAUGCCACGAGAGAAAGUCUAUGAAUGUGUAGCCAAAUCUAGAGAGAUCAAAGUCCUCUUCAAUUAGUAGGGGACGAUGAUAGACCACAGUAGUGUAGCGGUGAGAGCAUGCCGGAGACACGAAGUGUGAGAUCGGCGGAUGGUGGGAAGCAAGAGGAUCUGUGCUGGAAUACGAGCACAGUGACGAGGAAGGUCGUGAUCGAGACGCAUCAGGCGUGACGACCGAAGAAGAAUCAGCAGCAGAUCGACUGUGCAUGAGGCGAGGAGGGCUGUGGUCAGGGGCGGAGGAGGAGGAAGGUCAGCGGCUUUGAGUGGUAACCAUAAUGAGGUGAUGGAGGUAAGAUGUGAUGAGUAGUGGAAGACAAGAAGCUUUGGGUGGCGGCAAUAGGUGUUGAGGUUUGAAUUGGAUGAGGAAGAAGACAACCCUG